rnacentral:rRNA from 1 species
AAAGGGCGCGUAGGCGGGCUGAUAAGUCAGGGGUGAAAUCCCGAGGCUCAACCUCGGAACUGCCUUUGAUACUGUUGGUCUUGAGUUCGAGAGAGGUAAGUGGAACUGCGAGUGUAGAGGUGAAAUUCGUAGAUAUUCGCAAGAACACCAGUGGCGAAGGCGGCUUACUGGCUCGAUACUGACGCUGAGGCGCGAAAGCGUGGGGAGCAAACAGGAUUAGAUACCCCAGU